rnacentral:rRNA from 1 species
UACGUAGGGUGCGAGCGUUAAUCGGAAUUACUGGGCGUAAAGCGUGCGCAGGCGGUUUUGUAAGUCAGAUGUGAAAUCCCCGGGCUUAACCUGGGAACUGCGUUUGAAACUACAAGGCUAGAGUGUAGCAGAGGGGGGUGGAAUUCCACGUGUAGCAGUGAAAUGCGUAGAGAUGCGGAGGAACACCGAUGGCGAAGGCAGCCCCCUGGGCCAAUACUGACGCUCAGGCACGAAAGCGUGGGGAGCAAACAGG